CUACUAACAUAUAGGAAUUUUUGAAGGAAGGAAAGCCGAAAAUACCCAAUAUCUUGUUCCAACAGGAUAUUGGGUAUUUCUUUGUUUAUUCUGAAUCUUUCUAUUCUGAAUUCACUUAACGACGAGAUUUAGUAUCCUUUCUUGCACUUUCAUAACUCGUGAAAUGCCGAGUAGGCACGAAUUCCCCCAAUUUGCGACCUACCAUAGGAUUUGUUAUGUAAAUAGGUAUAUGUUCCUUUCCAUUAUGAAUCGCGAUUGUAUGGCCAACCAUUGCGGGUAGAAUGCUAGAUGCCCGGGACCACGUUACUAUUAUUUCUUUCUCCUCCUUCAUAUUAACCUUUUCGAUUUUUGCCAAUAAAUGACGAGCUACAAAAGGAUUCGUUUUUUUUCGUGUCACAGCUGAUUACUCCUUUUUUUCAUUUUAAAGAGUGGCAUCCUAUGUCCACUAUCUCGAUCGAGGUAUGGAGGUCAGAAUAAAUAGAAUAAUGAGAAGGAAAAA
rnacentral:misc_RNA from 1 species